CUCCUUAUUUCGAAUUCUUUUCUUUCACUAAAUUCUGUUCUCUUCGUAACAGCGGUCUCCAGGUCACGGGCAUACAACAGAAAAGGUGUAGAGUUUUUCUUGAAGUAAUUACUUCGACAUUAAUUAUUUUGAAUCAUAAUUAUUUCGAGCCCCGUCAAUUUCCGGGCUUAUCAGCGACUGGAUUUAGUAGAAUGAGCUUUUCUGACUGAACGCGAGCUACGAUGACGGACCUCUAUAGUUUUGGGUGUAUUCCGAAGCACCAGAUACGCU
rnacentral:misc_RNA from 1 species